rnacentral:rRNA from 1 species
AGGCGCGCAAAUUACCCAAUCUAAUACAGGGAGGUAGUGACAAUAAUAACGAUACAGGGCCCUUCGGGUCUUGUAAUUGGAAUGAGUACAAUGUAAAUACCUUAACGAGGAACAAUUGGAGGGCAAGUCUGGUGCCAGCAGCCGCGGUAAUUCCAGCUCCAAUAGCGUAUAUUAAAGUUGUUGCAGUUAAAAAGCUCGUAGUUGAACUUUGGGCCUGGUUGGCCGGUCCGAUUUUUUCGUGUACUGGAUUCCAACCGGGCCUUUCCUUCUGGCUAACCUUGGUCCUUGUGGCUCUUGGCGAACCGAUUUUUACUUUGAAAAAUUAGAGUGUUCAGCAGCGUAUUGCUCGAUAUAUAGCAUGAAUAUAGAUAGACGUUUGGUCUAUUUUGUGGUUUCUAGACAUCGUAUGAUAUAGGACGGUCGGGGGCAUCAGUAUUCAAUUGUCAGAGGUGAAAUUCUUGGAUUUAUUGAAGACUAACUACUGCGAAAGCAUUUGCCAAGGACGUUUUCAUUAAUCAAGAACGAAAGUUAGGGGAUCGAAGAUGAUCAGAUACCGUCGUAGUUUAACCAUAAACUAUCCGACUAGGGAUCGGGUG